UCAGGCCUAACACAUGCAAGUCGAACGAGAUCUUCGGAUCUAGUGGCGCACGGGUGAGUAACGCGUGGGAACAUACCAUUCUGUACGGAAUAACGUUUGGAAACGAACGCUAAUACCGUAUACGCCCUUCGGGGGAAAGGUCCGCCGCAGAAUGAGUGGCCCGCGUCCGAUUAGCUAGUUGGUGGAGUAAUGGCCUACCAAGGCGACGAUCGGUAGCUGGUCUGAGAGGAUGAUCAGCCACACUGGGACUGAGACACGGCCCAGACUCCUACGGGAGGCAGCAGUGGGGAAUAUUGGACAAUGGGGGCAACCCUGAUCCAGCAAUGCCGCGUGUGUGAUGCAGGCCUUAGGGUUGUAAAGCACUUUCAAUGGUGAAGAUGAUGACGGUAACCAUAGAAGAAGCCCCGGCUAACUUCGUGCCAGCAGCCGCGGUAAUACGAAGGGGGCGAGCGUUGUUCGGAAUUACUGGGCGUAAAGGGCGCGCAGGCGGUCAAUCCAGUCAGGUGUGAAAGCCCCGGGCUUAACCUGGGAACUGCACUUGAUACUGAUUGACUAGAAAACGGAAGAGGGCAGUGGAAUUCCCAGUGUAGAGGUGAAAUUCGUAGAUAUUGGGAAGAACACCAGUGGCGAAAGCGGCUGCCUGGUCCGAUUUUGACGCUGAGGCGCGAAAGCGUGGGGAGCAAACAGGAUUAGAUACCCU
rnacentral:rRNA from 1 species